rnacentral:tRNA from 1 species
GCGCGAGUGGCGGAAUGGCAGACGCGCUGGCUUCAGAUGCCAGUGUCCCUUGGGACGUGGAGGUUCAACUCCUCUCUCGCGCACAA